GCCAGCGUAGCUCAACGGUAGAGCACCGCUUUUGUAAAGCGGCGGUUGUGGGUUCGAUUCCCUCCGCUGGCU
rnacentral:tRNA from 1 species